AUCGGAGGGAGGGGGAGGGGGAGGGGGAGAGAAGCGUGCGUUCGAUCGGCGAUUGAGAUCGAUGGAGUACUGGUGGGAGCAAGUGGUGCUGCUUCCCAUGCGGCGAGUUCAGGUCGGCGUCGCCGCCCGGCUCGGCAUCCGAAGGAGCGGGCUAAGGAAGCUGAGGGAGGAGGUGAGGACGUGCGAGUACGAGGACGUCCAUGUGCUGUGGGAGAUGCUGCGCAAGAGUACUGACACCGAGACCCGACGGCAGACGCCGGCCAUCCAGCGGCGGCGGAGGACCUCCCUCUUCCAUUGGUCUCCUUGUAACCUCCGUCGCAACCUCUAAUUCGUUUUCUUGUGCUGCCGCUCUCUCCCUCUCUGGCCAUUUGACAUUCUACGGAGGCACAAUCUCCGGGACUCCGAUUGUAGUGAUAUACUAGUCGUCGUCAUCAUAGAGUAAGAAAUGAUGAGGAUGAACACAACAACCUCUCGCUACUACGCUUGCAUACCAUGAGAUCACAGUUCGCAAAUCAUGAUGUAGUAAGAAAUGAAGACGAAAGAAAUGUUAUAUGGGAUCUUCGUCAAAUUUGCAUGAGGAAAACAAAUGGUUACGUGACCA